ACCCGAGUUUUUGCAAAUACAACCGCGAAUUGUGUACAAUAACUCAUACCAAAUUUGGUUUGGCUAUUGUUGUAUGAUGAAGUAUUCAUGACGUCACUGUUAUCACGUGAUGUUUAAUUAAAGCCACUUGGUACUUGACACUGAUAGAGCAUGGUGGCAAGCGGUGUUUGACCCAUAAAAAUCAGUUAUAAUCACCCUAUCAGCUUGGUACAUAUCCCAUUAGAACAACCAAAGAGAAACAGAAAAAGAAAACAACUGCGAGAGACACGAUCGUUUCGAUAUUCUGCAGCAAAACUCAGCAAACCCGACCGUUUCGAAACUACAGCAAGGAUCGAGUGAAUACGCCGAAAGCGAAGAGAAGACUGCCAAGCCAAAGGAAUUAAACUCCACCGAACUGGAAGAAAGCUACCUCACACCGGGAAUACUACUUUAAGGGCCUGUCACUUUGACCGUGAUGACAUUGCUCUACCUAAAGUAUUACACAAGUACUUCAUGAAAGCUUCGCAUGAAAAGAGCGUGAACAUGCCGAGAAGGGCGGACACUACCAGGCCACCUUUUCCGACCUUUGUUUGGUAGUGUUGUGCCCAACCCUUGCUGGAGACCCAGAAGUAAGGGCCACUAUUGACUUAAGCAAUGUUACCCAGGAUCGCAUACAAGCUGCUGUAGCAUAGGCUGAGGCGAGAUUGGCCCUUACAACGAACGAAGCGG